rnacentral:rRNA from 1 species
GCGGUGGAGCAUGUGGUUUAAUUCACGCAACGCGCAGAACCUUACCUGGGCUUGACGUCCCGAUCGUACUUUCUGGAAACAGUUAGGUCAGUUCGGCUGGAUCGGUGACAGGUGCUGCAUGGCUGUCGUCAGCUCGUGUCGUGAGAUGUUGGGUUAAGUCCCGCAACGAGCGCAACCCUUGUCCUUAGUUGCCAGCAUUAAGUUGGGCACUCUAAGGAGACUGCCGGUGUUAAACCGGAGGAAGGUGGGGAUGACGUCAAGUCCUCAUGGCCCUUAUGUCCAGGGCUAUACACGUGCUACAAUGGCCGGUACAAAGGGCUGCAAGACCGUGAGGUUGAGCGAAUCCCAGAAAGCCGGUCUCAGUUCGGAUUGGAGUCUGCAACUCGACUCCAUGAAGUUGGAAUCGCUAGUAAUCGCGGAUCAGCAUGCCGCGGUCGAAUACGUUCCCGGGCCUU